UAUUUUUUGACUCAUUUCAAAUAUGCAUCGUCGAUUAGUGAUCUCUCUCCAUUUUGGGGUUUCACAUUUGCAACGGUGCUAGAUCAAUGCUGUGAUUUAUUCUCGGGCUGGAGCUGAUGCACAUGGUGUUUUCUUUCCCUACCGACUGCUUGCUUCAAGUGCGUUCGUUGCUUCAAGGCGGUUUCUGCUUCCGUCGUGUCGGUUUUUUUCACUUGCGUCGCUAGGACUUAUAAGGAACUGAUGCUGUCGGUCAACAGCAGGAUCGUUGGAGGUGCUAAGUAGGUAUUUGGAAAAUGGCCGUAGGUUUCAAUCGCGAUGUAAUAUUCGUUAUAUGUAUGGACUCGUUUGAAUAAACCUGUUUUGCAGAAAUGAAA